UGUGUUGAUUGUUUUGCUUAUUCGCUUU
rnacentral:piRNA from 1 species